AAAAACUGGGUUGUAAAGGUAUGUGAUUUUGGCUUAUCACGAAUGAAGCAUAGCACCUUCCUUUCUUCCUGAUCAACUGCGGGAACAGCUGAAUGAAUGGCUCCAGAAGUGUUGAGAAAUGAACUUUCAGAUGAAAAGUAAGCUCUGUUAUUCUUUGCAGUUGUUGUUUUGCUUUAGGGACACGAAGGUGUUGUGAAAACCCUUCCAAUCCGACCACUCUUCCUCUAUUUAACAUUGCCACAAAGG